rnacentral:rRNA from 1 species
GAUGAACGCUGGCGGCGUGCCUAAUACAUGCAAGUCGAGCGAACAGAUGAGGAGCUUGCUCCUCUGACGUUAGCGGCGGACGGGUGAGUAACACGUGGAUAACCUACCUAUAAGACUGGGAUAACUUCGGGAAACCGGAGCUAAUACCGGAUAAUAUAUUGAACCGCAUGGUUCAAUAGUGAAAGACGGUUUUGCUGUCACCUAUAGAUUGAUCCGCGCCGCGUUAGCUAGUUGGUAAGGUAACGGCUUACCAAGGCAACGAUGCGUAGCCGACCUGAGAGGGUGAUCGGCCACACUGGAACUGAGACACGGUCCAGACUCCUACGGGAGGCAGCAGUAGGGAAUCUUCCGCAAUGGGCGAAAGCCUGACGGAGCAACGCCGCGUGAGUGAUGAAGGUCUUCGGAUCGUAAAACUCUGUUAUUAGGGAAGAACAAAUGUGUAAGUAACUAUGCACGUCUUGACGGUACCUAAUCAGAAAGCCACGGCUAACUACGUG